GGGGUUGUGGCUCAGCGGGAGAGCGCUUGCCUUGCAAGUGCCAGACCCUGGGUUUGAUCCUCAGCAAUCACA
rfam:Ictidomys tridecemlineatus contig110435, whole genome shotgun sequence.